rnacentral:rRNA from 1 species
UUAAGUUAGAAAGGGCGCACGGUGGAUGCCUUGACACUAGGAGUCGAUGAAGGACGGGACUAACGCCGAUAUGCUUCGGGGAGCUGUAAGUAAGCUUUGAUCCGAAGAUUUCCGAAUGGGGAAACCCACCAUACGUAAUGGUAUGGUAUCCUUAUCUGAAUACAUAGGGUAAGGAAGACAGACCCAGGGAACUGAAACAUCUAAGUACCUGGAGGAAGAGAAAGCAAAUGCGAUUUCCUGAGUAGCGGCGAGCGAAACGGAACAUAGCCCAAACCAAGAGGCUUGCCUCUUGGGGUUGUAGGACAUUCUAUACGGAGUUACAAAGGAACGAGGUAGACGAAGCGACCUGGAAAGGUCCGUCGUAGAGGGUAACAACCCCGUAGUCGAAACUUCGUUCUCUCUUGAAUGUAUCCUGAGUACGGCGGAACACGUGAAAUUCCGUCGGAAUCUGGGAGGACCAUCUCCCAAGGCUAAAUACUCCCUAGUGAUCGAUAGUGAACCAGUACCGUGAGGGAAAGGUGAAAAGCACCCCGGAAGGGGAGUGAAAGAGAUCCUGAAACCGUGUGCCUACAAAUAGUCAGAGCCCGUUAAUGGGUGAUGGCGUGCCUUUUGUAGAAUGAACCGGCGAGUUACGAUCCCGUGCGAGGUUAAGCUGAAGAGGCGGAGCCGCAGCGAAAGCGAGUCUGAAUAGGGCGUUUAGUACGUGGUCGUAGACCCGAAACCAGGUGAUCUACCCAUGUCCAGGGUGAAGUUCAGGUAACACUGAAUGGAGGCCCGAACCCACGCACGUUGAAAAGUGCGGGGAUGAGGUGUGGGUAGCGGAGAAAUUCCAAUCGAACCUGGAGAUAGCUGGUUCUCCCCGAAAUAGCUUUAGGGCUAGCCUUAAGUGUAAGAGUCUUGGAGGUAGAGCACUGAUUGGACUAGGGGUCCUCAUCGGAUUACCGAAUUCAGUCAAACUCCGAAUGCCAAUGACUUAUCCUUAGGAGUCAGACUGCGAGUGAUAAGAUCCGUAGUCAAAAGGGAAACAGCCCAGACCGCCAGCUAAGGUCCCAAAGUGUGUAUUAAGUGGAAAAGGAUGUGGAGUUGCUUAGACAACUAGGAUGUUGGCUUAGAAGCAGCCACCAUUUAAAGAGUGCGUAAUAGCUCACUAGUCGAGUGACUCUGCGCCGAAAAUGUACCGGGGCUAAAUACACCACCGAAGCUGCGGAUUGAUACCAAUGGUAUCAGUGGUAGGGGAGCGUUCUAAGGACAGUGAAGUCAGACCGGAAGGACUGGUGGAGUGCUUAGAAGUGAGAAUGCCGGUAUGAGUAGCGAAAGACGGGUGAGAAUCCCGUCCACCGAAUGCCUAAGGUUUCCUGAGGAAGGCUCGUCCGCUCAGGGUUAGUCAGGACCUAAGCCGAGGCCGACAGGCGUAGGCGAUGGACAACAGGUUGAUAUUCCUGUACCACCUCUUUAUCGUUUGAGCAAUGGAGGGACGCAGAAGGAUAGAAGAAGCGUGCGAUUGGUUGUGCACGUCCAAGCAGUUAGGCUGAUAAGUAGGCAAAUCCGCUUAUCGUAAAGGCUGAGCUGUGAUGGGGAAGCUCCUUAUGGAGCGAAGUCUUUGAUUCCCCGCUGCCAAGAAAAGCUUCUAGCGAGAUAAAAGGUGCCUGUACCGCAAACCGACACAGGUAGGCGAGGAGAGAAUCCUAAGGUGUGCGAGAGAACUCUGGUUAAGGAACUCGGCAAAAUGACCCCGUAACUUCGGGAGAAGGGGUGCUUUCUUAACGGAAAGCCGCAGUGAAUAGGCCCAAGCGACUGUUUAGCAAAAACACAGCUCUCUGCGAAGCCGUAAGGCGAAGUAUAGGGGGUGACACCUGCCCGGUGCUGGAAGGUUAAGGAGAGGGGUUAGCGUAAGCGAAGCUCUGAACUGAAGCCCCAGUAAACGGCGGCCGUAACUAUAACGGUCCUAAGGUAGCGAAAUUCCUUGUCGGGUAAGUUCCGACCCGCACGAAAGGUGUAACGAUUUGGGCACUGUCUCAACCAGAGACUCGGUGAAAUUAUAGUACCUGUGAAGAUGCAGGUUACCCGCGACAGGACGGAAAGACCCCGUGGAGCUUUACUGUAGCCUGAUAUUGAAUUUUGGUACAGUUUGUACAGGAUAGGCGGGAGCCAUUGAAACCGGAGCGCUAGCUUCGGUGGAGGCGCUGGUGGGAUACCGCCCUGACUGUAUUGAAAUUCUAACCUACGGGUCUUAUCGACCCGGGAGACAGUGUCAGGUGGGCAGUUUGACUGGGGCGGUCGCCUCCUAAAGUGUAACGGAGGCGCCCAAAGGUUCCCUCAGAAUGGUUGGAAAUCAUUCGUAGAGUGCAAAGGCAUAAGGGAGCUUGACUGCGAGACCUACAAGUCGAGCAGGGACGAAAGUCGGGCUUAGUGAUCCGGUGGUUCCGCAUGGAAGGGCCAUCGCUCAACGGAUAAAAGCUACCCCGGGGAUAACAGGCUUAUCUCCCCCAAGAGUCCACAUCGACGGGGAGGUUUGGCACCUCGAUGUCGGCUCAUCGCAUCCUGGGGCUGUAGUCGGUCCCAAGGGUUGGGCUGUUCGCCCAUUAAAGCGGUACGCGAGCUGGGUUCAGAACGUCGUGAGACAGUUCGGUCCCUAUCCGUCGUGGGCGUAGGAAAUUUGAGAGGAGCUGUCCUUAGUACGAGAGGACCGGGAUGGACGCACCGCUGGUGUACCAGUUGUUCUGCCAAGGGCAUAGCUGGGUAGCUAUGUGCGGAAGGGAUAAGUGCUGAAAGCAUCUAAGCAUGAAGCCCCCCUCAAGAUGAGAUUUCCCAUAGCGUAAGCUAGUAAGAUCCCUGAAAGAUGAUCAGGUUGAUAGGUUCGAGGUGGAAGCAUGGUGACAUGUGGAGCUGACGAAUACUAAUAGAUCGAGGACUUAACCA